GACGAACGCUGGCGGCGUGCCUAAUACAUGCAAGUAGAACGCUGAAGAGAGGAGCUUGCUCUUCUUGGAUGAGUUGCGAACGGGUGAGUAACGCGUAGGUAACCUGCCUGGUAGCGGGGGAUAACUAUUGGAAACGAUAGCUAAUACCGCAUAAAAUUGAUUAUUGCAUGAUAAUUAAUUGAAAGAUGCAACUGCAUCACUACCAGAUGGACCUGCGCUGUAUUAGCUAGUUGGUGAGGUAACGGCUCACCAAGGCGACGAUACAUAGCCGACCUGAGAGGGUGAUCGGCCACACUGGGACUGAGACACGGCCCAGACUCCUACGGGAGGCAGCAGUAGGGAAUCUUCGGCAAUGGGGGGAACCCUGACCGAGCAACGCCGCGUGAGUGAAGAAGGUUUUCGGAUCGUAAAGCUCGGUUGUAAGAGAAGAACGGGUGUGAGAGUGGAAAGUUCACACUGUGACGGUAUCUUACCAGAAAGGGACGGCUAACUACGUG
rnacentral:rRNA from 1 species